GAAAUUUCCCAGAUGCAUACAAACGUUAUAAAUAAAAAUAUAGGCUGGGCACGAUGACCCACACCUGUAAUCCCACAGAACUUUUGGAGGCCAAGGCAGGGGGAUCGCUUGAGCCCAGGAGUUUGAGACCAGCUCUGGCAACAUUGUAAUACCCAGUCUCUACAAAAAAUAAUUUAAAAAAAAAUUAGCCAGGGAUCCCUUGAGCCUGGGAAGUUGAGGCUGCUGUGAGCUGUGAUUGCACCACUGCCCUCCAGCCUGGGAGACAGAGCAAGAACCUGUCUCAAAAAAUAUAUAUAUGUGUGUGUGUAUAUAUGUAAAUAUACACACAUGUAUGUAUAUAUAUGUGUGUGUAUAUAUAUAUAUAUUAUGAAAGGAAAUGAGUAUUGUAAUUUUAGGAGUUCAGAGCCUGGGGAGAAAGGAAGGACUCUGGAAGGCGUUCUGCUUUUUCAUGGCCUGGGUAGUGGUGAAUUUUUUUGAUACUGUAUAUUUAUAUUUUAGACUCUUUUUUGGAUGUGUUAUAUUCUGCAAUUUUUAUAAAAGCUAAAACACAUGUAUUUGUAAAAAAUUUGCACUUAUGAAAUCAUUUACCCAUGUUUUUGCUUAAGAAAGUACUAGAACACUACCACUAUUCCAAUAAUUACACCUUUAUCUUAUCAAUGUG
rnacentral:lncRNA from 10 species